UACGAAGGUGGCAAGCGUUGUUCGGAUUCACUGGGCGUACAGGGUGUGUAGGCGGUUUGGUAAGCCUUCUGUUAAAGCUUCGGGCCCAACCCGGAAAGCGCAGAGGGUACUGCCAGGCUAGAGGGCGGGAGAGGAGCGCGGAAUUCCCGGUGUAGCGGUGAAAUGCGUAGAGAUCCGGAGGAACCCCAGAGGCGAAGGCGGCGUCCUGGCUCGCAUCUGACGCUCAGACACGACAGCAUGGGGAGCGAACGGG
rnacentral:rRNA from 1 species